CAGCUCUCCGAGUGGUGGGGACGAUUAUUGGGCUUAAAGCGUUCGUAGCCGGCUUAACAAGUCUUCCGUUAAAUCCAACGAUCUAAUCGUUGGGCUGCGGGAGAUACUGUUGGGCUAGGAGGCGGGAGAAGCCGACGGUAUUCUCGGGGUAGGGGUGAAAUCCUGUAAUCCCGGGAGGACCACCAGUGGCGAAGGCGGUCGGCUAGAACGCGCUCGACGGUGAGGGACGAAAGCUGGGGGAGCAAACCGGAUUAGAAACCCGGGUAGUCCCAGCUGUAAACGAUGCGGGCUAGGUGUUGGGGUGGCCACGAGCCACUUCAGUGCCGCAUGGAAGCAAUUAAGCCCGCCGCCUGGGGAGUACGGCCGCAAGGCUGAAACUUAAAGGAAUUGGCGGGGGAGCACCACAAGGCGUGAAGCUUGCGGUUUAAUUGGAGUCAACGCCGGGAAACUUACCGGGGGCGACAGCAGUAUGAAAGCCAGAUUGAAGGUCUUGCUGGACGAGCUGAGAGGAGGUGCAUGGCCGUCGCCAGUUCGUGCCGUGAGGUGUCCUGUUAAGUCAGGCAACGAUCGAGACCCGCCUCCCUUGUUGCUACUGGUGAAUAGCCAGGCACACUAGGGAAACUGCCGUCGAUAAGGCGGAGGAAGGAGCGGGCCACGGCAGGUCAGUAUGCCCCGAAUCCCCCGGGCCACACGCGAGCUGCAAUGGCAGGGACAAUGGGUUUCAACCCUGAAAAGGGGAGGUAAUCUCUAAACCCUGCCUCAGUUGGGAUCGAGGGCUGUAACUCGCCCUCGUGAACAUGGAAUGCCUAGUAAUCGCGUGUCAUCAUCGCGCGGUGAAUACGUCCCCGCUCCUU
rnacentral:rRNA from 1 species